GAACGCACCUUGCACUCUUUGGUAUUCCGAAGAGUAUGUCUGUUUGAGUGUCAUGAAACUCUCAACCCCCUUGUUUUGUAAUGAAACGAGUGUGGGCUUGGAUUAUGGCUGCUGCCGGCGUCAUUGCCGACUCGGCUGAAAUACACGGGCUACCCAUUUCUAAGAAACAGACGGUUUGACUCGGCGUAAUAACAUAUUUAACAUAUUUCGCUGAGGACGUCACAUUCUUUAAACGUCAGUGGUGCUUCUAAUGCGACAUCUAGUCUAGACUAGACCUAAGCUUUAGACCUCAAAUCAGUCAGGACUACCCGCUGAACUUAAG
rnacentral:misc_RNA from 1 species